rnacentral:rRNA from 1 species
UACGAAGGGGGCUAGCGUUGCUCGGAAUCACUGGGCGUAAAGCGCACGUAGGCGGUCUUUUAAGUCAGGGGUGAAAUCCUGGAGCUCAACUCCAGAACUGCCUUUGAUACUGAGAGGCUUGAGUCCGGGAGAGGUGAGUGGAACUGCGAGUGUAGAGGUGAAAUUCGUAGAUAUUCGGAGGAACACCAGUGGCGAAGGCGGCUCACUGGUCCAUUACUGACGCUGAGGUGCGAAAGCGUGGGGAGCAAACAGG